rnacentral:siRNA from 1 species
AUGUUCAAGUAGUGAGAAUUCA